rnacentral:rRNA from 1 species
GUACGCUGGCGGCACGCCUAACACAUGCAAGUCGAACGAAGUAGCAAUACUUAGUGGCAGACGGGUGAGUAACAUGUGGGUAUCUGCCCUUUGGCCUGGAAUAACACGAGGAAACUUGUGCUAAUACCGGAUAAGUCUUUACAGAGAAAGCUUUAUGCACCAUUGGAUGAGCCUGCACUUGAUUAGUUUGUUGGUAGGGUAAUGGCCUACCAAGACUGUGAUCAAUAGCUGAUUUGAGAGGAUGAUCAGCCACAUUGGGACUGAGACACGGCCCAAACUCCUACGGGAGGCAGCAGUGGGGAAUCUUGCACAAUGGAGGAAACUCUGAUGCAGCGAUGCCGCGUGAGUGAAGAAGGCCUUUGGGUUGUAAAGCUCUUUCGUCGGGGAAGAAAAUGACUGUACCCGAAUAAGAAGGUCCGGCUAACU